AACGAACGCUGGCGGCAGGCUUAACACAUGCAAGUCGAGCGCCCCGCAAGGGGAGCGGCAGACGGGUGAGUAACGCGUGGGAACGUACCUUUUGGUUCGGAACGACUCCGGGAAACUGGAGCUAAUACCGGAUAAGCCCUAACGGGGAAAGAUUUAUCGCCGAAAGAUCGGCCCGCGUCUGAUUAGCUAGUUGGUGAGGUAACGGCUCACCAAGGCGACGAUCAGUAGCUGGUCUGAGAGGAUGAUCAGCCACACUGGGACUGAGACACGGCCCAGACUCCUACGGGAGGCAGCAGUGGGGAAUAUUGGACAAUGGGCGCAAGCCUGAUCCAGCCAUGCCGCGUGAGUGAUGAAGGCCUUAGGGUUGUAAAGCUCUUUUGUCCGGGAAGAUAAUGACUGUACCGGAAGAAUAAGCCCCGGCUAACUUCGUG
rnacentral:rRNA from 1 species